AGGGUGGGGUUUAGGAUUUAGGGUUUAGGGUUUAGGGUUUACGUUUAGGGUUUAGGGUUUAGAAUUUAGGGUUUAGGGUUUAGAGUUUAGAGUUUAGGGUUUAGAGUUUAGGGUUUAGGGUUUAGGAUUUAGGGUUUAGAGUUUAGGGUUUAGGGUUUAAAAUCGAGAAAUGAGGUUUUGGGGAUAAGAUAUAAACUUAGAAAGGUGUUAUUUUGGUCAUUUUAGUUUUUGAGUGCUAU
rnacentral:lncRNA from 1 species